CGGCGGACGGGUGAGUAACGCGUGGGUAACCUACCCUGUACACACGGAUAACAUACCGAAAGGUAUGCUAAUACGGGAUAAUAUAUUUGAGAGGCAUCUCUUGAAUAUCAAAGGUGAGCCAGUACAGGAUGGACCCGCGUCUGAUUAGCUAGUUGGUAAGGUAACGGCUUACCAAGGCGACGAUCAGUAGCCGCCUGAGAGGGUGAUCGGCCACAUUGGAACUGAGACACGGUCCAA
rnacentral:rRNA from 1 species